AUUCUACUCCCUCUGUUGCACAAUACAUGCCUUCUAUUUGUAAAAAUAUAUAUGUAUCUAGACAUGUCUUGGUAUAUAGGUACAUCCAUUUUUGGACAAAUGGAAGUCAAGUAUUUUGGAACGGAGGGAGUACACA
rnacentral:pre_miRNA from 1 species